UUGGUCAAUUGCUGUAAGUUAGUGUGACAUGGUAAAGCAGGUUAAAGUUAAUGCAGGUUUUGGCUUUUCCGCUUUGUUCGCUGUCAUUUGCAGUCGGCAUCUGCGGCUUCUCUUAGUAUCCUUUGCCUCAAUGAAGUUACUACCAUUUAUUGAUUCUGAUUGCACAACAACAUCAUUCCAAGAUAAUAUGCUAUCUGGAGCUUCCGCAUCUAUUUCCUUGGUUAUGCCGAUGAUGUCUUUGGAUUGUACCAACUGCGCUUGGCAUUGCCUUCAUGGCUUGACUUGCAGCUGGAUUGUAUCUGCGGUGUCGUUGUUCGGCCUUGGCAGCUUGGAAUUGUAGCGCACAGCUGGGAGUUUUGGAAGUGUUGAUGCCGUUUUUGGAUUGUUAGCUUAAGUUUGCAGCUUGAAGUAUUGGCUCACGCGGAUGUCGCCGUUGUGGAGUUCUUUAUUGGCUUAGCUGGGAAUGCAGCUCACGUGCUACCUUGGGUGUGUUUUCGUGCCAUUUCUGUUUGCAGCGUUGCAGGCCUUUGGAGGUUGGAUAGAAUUGACCGCACCGCCGAAGGCUGCAUAGCAGAUGACGCUUGCAUGACUGAUUUGAGAGGUAUUCGACGGGUUUGGUUGCAGAAGGCUCCGCUGUUGUUGUUGCGGGACUCGGAUAGACUUUUUCAUUUGAAUUGCUCAUGAUGUAUGCCAUGAAGUUUGAUGUAUGUAGCAUAAAAUGUAUAUGAAUAACCAAUGAGGCAUAAUGUAAUGCUUAUGUAAAAUGCUUGUUUUAAUAUGUAAAAUGUGCUUAUGAUAUGUAAAUAUUAAUGGAAUGAAGUGUAUGAGAAUGUAGCAUUA